rnacentral:misc_RNA from 1 species
GAAAUGCGAUACGUAAUGCGAAUUGCAGAAUUCAGUGAAUCAUCGAAUCUUUGAACGCAAAUUGCGCUCUCGGGUUACCCCCAAGAGCACACCUCUCUGAGUGUCGGUUUAACCAAAUGUCACCAAUUUAUUGGUGUACGAUAUUUGAGGGUAAGGAGUCUCGGCUUCUUUCCUUUUAAAUCUCAGCCGCACGACUGUGUGUGUUCGUGGCAAGUUGCUUUCACUUAACUGUGAAUCCAAUCCACUGACCCUACGUUAUGCAGCAAAAAGAAACAACUGGGCAAACUUCGAAGCUUGAAGGUGAGUGAAAGUGUCAUUCUUCGAGUGAUAAGAAUUUUGUUCAACCUAUGAAUUAGACCUCAGAUGAAGUGGGAAGACCCCCUGAAUUUAA